AAACGGCGGAGUCUGCGCCAAUGC
rnacentral:siRNA from 1 species